AGAGUUUGAUCCUGGCUCAGGAUGAACGCUGACAGAAUGCUUAACACAUGCAAGUCAACUUGAAUUUGGGUUUUUAACUUAGGUUUGGGUGGCGGACGGGUGAGUAACGCGUAAAGAACUUGCCUCACAGCUAGGGACAACAUUUGGAAACGAAUGCUAAUACCUGAUAUUAUGAUUUUAAGGCAUCUUAGAAUUAUGAAAGCUAUACGCGCUGUGAGAGAGCUUUGCGUCCCAUUAGCUAGUUGGAGAGGUAACGGCUCACCAAGGCGAUGAUGGGUAGCCGGCCUGAGAGGGUGAACGGCCACAAGGGGACUGAGACACGGCCCUUACUCCUACGGGAGGCAGCAGUGGGGAAUAUUGGACAAUGGACCAAGAGUCUGAUCCAGCAAUUCUGUGUGCACGAUGAAGUUUUUCGGAAUGUAAAGUGCUUUCAGUUGGGAAGAAAAAAAUGACGGUACCAACAGAAGAAGUGACGGCUAAAUACGUGCCAGCAGCCGCGGUAAUACGUAUGUCACAAGCGUUAUCCGGAUUUAUUGGGCGUAAAGCGCGUCUAGGUGGUUAUGUAAGUCUGAUGUGAAAAUGCAGGGCUCAACUCUGUAUUGCGUUGGAAACUGUGUAACUAGAGUACUGGAGAGGUAAGCGGAACUACAAGUGUAGAGGUGAAAUUCGUAGAUAUUUGUAGGAAUGCCGAUGGGGAAGCCAGCUUACUGGACAGAUACUGACGCUGAAGCGCGAAAGCGUGGGUAGCAAACAGGAUUAGAUACCCUGGUAGUCCACGCCGUAAACGAUGAUUACUAGGUGUUGGGGGUCGAACCUCAGCGCCCAAGCAAACGCGAUAAGUAAUCCGCCUGGGGAGUACGUACGCAAGUAUGAAACUCAAAGGAAUUGACGGGGACCCGCACAAGCGGUGGAGCAUGUGGUUUA
rnacentral:rRNA from 1 species